GCCUAGCUGGCUCAGUUGGUAGAGUGUGUGACUCUUGUCUGGGGUUGUGGGUUUGAACCCCAUGCUGGGCG
rnacentral:tRNA from 1 species